GAGUGGCGCACGGGUGAGUAGCGCGUGGGAACCUGCCCUNUGGUUCGGGAUAACCGCGGGAAACUGCGGCUAAUACCGGAUACGCCCUUUGGGGGAAAGAUUUAUCGCCGAAGGAGGGGCCCGCGUCCGAUUAGGUAGUUGGUGAGGUAACGGCUCACCAAGCCUGUGAUCGGUAGCUGGUCUGAGAGGAUGAUCAGCCACACUGGGACUGAGACACGGUCCAGACUCCUACGGGAGGCAGCAGUGGGGAAUAUUGCGCAAUGGGCGAAAGCCUGACGCAGCAACGCCGCGUG
rnacentral:rRNA from 1 species